UUUUUCAGCGUCUGUGAAUUUGUUCUUUUAUCCAGUUAAACAGUUUUGCAGAAAAACCCUCAUACUUCAUGCAUUUAAUAACUUCUCAACCGUGCAUCGGAUUAAAACAAUUUAUAUAUGAAACUUGCUUAGAAUUUCAUCUAGUUUAUUAAUAUGCAACUUUCAUCCUUGGUUAAAAUGCUUAAAUUGCUGUUUGUUUAAAUUUGCCCCUAUGCCAUGUUAAAAUGAUUUAUUUCAUAACUUUAUAACCGUAGCUCCAAACCUAACAAACUUUAUAUGUAACUGGGGUAGAAUUGUGCCUAGUUUAAUAUGGUGACAUUGCUUUGCAUGUUUAAUAACCCUAAAAUUGUGUUUAGGGCAGAACAGUACCAAACCUAAAAUAUGCACGUGAGGAGUUUCCGGAUUUGUUGUUCGUUGUUUCCUGCCUCAUUUAAACUUGCCUAGAUAGGUAGUUUUCUUUUGCUUCACCCCUUGCCAUGUUAAUCAACAUUUAAUAAUGUUGGGUACAUAAUCGAGAUCGAACUAAAUAAGUCAUGUGGUGUUCCGUCAAUAUGCAACUCGUUGCAUAUUGAGCUCCACUUAAUUUGUAGAGUUGUUUGUGCAUUUUGCCAUGCCAUGCUUCAUUAAACCGGACAUGCAUCAUACUCGAUUGUGCAUCAUGCCAUGUUUAUGUGGUGGUUGUUUACCAUGAUUGUUUGCUUCUUUCCAGUGUUGCUUCUUCGGGUUGGUUCCGGUAACGUCGUGUUUGUGAGGAUUCGUUCAACUACGUCCGUUAGUCUUCUUCAUGGACUCAUUCUUCUUCCUUGCGGGAUCUCAGGCAAGAUGACCAUACCCUCGAAAUCACUUCUAUCUUUGCUUGCUAGUUGCUCGCUAUUUUGCUAUGCCUAUGCUGCAAUACCUACCACUUGCUUAUCAUGCCUCCCAUAUUGUUGAACCAAGCCUCUAACCCACCUUGUCCUAGCAAACCGUUGAUUGGCUAUGUUACCGCGUUGCUCAGCCCCUCUUAUAGUGUUGUUAGUUGCAGGUGAAGAUUGAAGUUUGUUCCUUGUUGGAACAUGGAGAUGUUGUUCCUUGUUGGAACAUGUUUACUUGUUGGGAUAUCACAAUAUCUCUUAUUUAAUUAACGCAUCUAUAUACUUGGUAAAGGGUGGAAGGCUCGGCCUUAUGCCUGGUGUUUUGUUCCACUCUUGCCGCCCUAGUUUCCGUCAUAUCGGUGUUAUGUUCCCGGAUUUUGCGUUCCUUACGCGGUUGGGCUAUAAUGGGAACCCCUUGACAGUUCGCCUUGAAUAAAACUCCUCCAGCAAUGCCGAACCUUGGUUUUACCAUUUGCACUAACAACGUACCACCUUCCCUUGGGUUCUGCAGACUCAAGGGUCAUCAUUAUUUUAACCCCCCUAGGCCAGUGCUCCUCUGAGUGUUGGUCCGACUGAGAAGACUGCGGGGCCACCUCGGGGCAACUUGAGGUUUGGUUUUAGUCGUAGGAUGUCUCGUCUGAGUGUGCCCUGAGAACGAGAUAUGUGCAGCUCCUAUCGGGAUUUGUCGGCACAUUCGGGCGGUGUUGCUGGAUUUGUUUUAACUUGUCGAAGUGUCUUGUAGAACCGGGAUACCGAGUCUGAUCGGAAUGUCUCGGGAGAAGGUAUAUCCUUCGUUGACCGUGAGAGCUUGUCAUGGGCUAAGUUGGGACUCCACUACAGGGAUUUGAACUUUCGAAAGCCGUGCCCGCGGUUAUGGGCAAAUGGGAAUUUGUUAAUGUCCGGUUGUAGAUAACUUGAACCUUAACUUAAUUAAAAUACAUCAACCGCGUGUGUAACCGUGAUGGUCUCUUUCCGGCGGAGUCCGGGAAGUGAACACGGUGUUGGAGUUAUGCUUGACGUAGGUUGUUCUAGGAUCACUUCUUGAUCAUAGUUUUCUCGCUCGUGCUUUGCCUUCUCUUCUCGCUCUCAUUUGCGUAUGUUAGCCACCAUAUAUACUAGUCGCUUGCUGCAGCUCCACCUCAUACCUUUUACCCUUCCCAUAAGCUUAAAUAGUCUUGAUCGCGAGGGUGUGAGAUUGCUGACUCCCCGUGACUCACAAUUACUUCCAAAACUAGCUUGCAGGUGCCGUUGAAUCAUGCAGAUGACGCAACCCAGCUCAAGGAGGAGCUCGAUGAAGACCUUGUCCUUUGUGUUGUUUCGUUCCAGUUGAUCAGUAGUGGAGCCCAGUUGGGGUCGAUCGGGGAUCUGUGUAGCAUUUGGGGUAGUCUUCUUUUAUUUUGGCUCCAUAGUCGGGCCCUGAUUGUAUCUGGAUGAUGUAAUGCUUUAUUCAUGUAAUUGUGUGAAGUGGCGAUUGUAAGCCAACUAUGUAUCUCUUUCCCUUAUGUAUUACAUGGGAUGUGUGAAUAUUACCUCACUUGCGACAUUGCUUCCAAUGCGGUUAUGCCUCUAAGUCGUGCUUCGACACGUGGGAGAUAUAGCCGCAUCGAGGGCAUUACAAGUUGGUAUCAGAGCCUUCCCCGACCUUUGGAGCCCCAUUGCUUCAUCGAAUUAGCGGACGAGUUGAGUCUAGAAAAAUGUUUUGAGUCAUUUAGGAAUUAUAUAUAUCGUAGAGUUAGGAAUUCUUUUUACUCCCCAGUCCCUUCGUCGCUCUGGUGAGGCAUCCUGACAUAGAGUUUUGACUCUUCUCUUCUCAAAUUUCACUAAAAAAAAUUUAGGAUCACGCGGGUAUCUUGGAAUCGUUCCGAUGGUUUUGUGACGAGCACAUUGUUCUUGGUGCCUCCUGUCAUUUAGGGGUUGUGGCAGUGUCCCGGGGAGUUGAGCUCCGAGGUGUUGUCGUCACAAUUUUAUCGUUGCAGUUCUGGAAUACCUGAGAUUAGUUUCGCUGACAUCGAAAAUCUCUUUUAUGCAGUUGUUGGUGAGAUAACCUCGACGCCACCUAGUACUGGGGCGGGAGUUCGGGAGUAUUGCCAUAACUCGUAUAACGGAUGCUUUUCGAAGGUUGAGGUAGACGAUUUCCGAAGGUUUCUUGGUUAUUUGUUGAAGGAUGGAUACAGCUGGAUGUAGGAUUUGCUAGAAUUGGGUGAGAUAUUAUGCUUCCCCUGUAUCCCCAACACCCGAUUGCAUAACCGGAAAAUUUCGGGAGUUUAUAAGUGGGAAUUCAAGUAUCUCUUAGGAUAUCUUUCCGACGGAUAUAUGAUAUGAAAUUGGUGUUCGACUUCUAGUGGUCUGCCUAUCCACGGUUCGUUUUAUAGUGCCCUCGUUGUGUCUUAAAGUGUCCUUGGCUAUGCCGACUCGGGGACGCUUCGUAUGUCAUGUGCACUGCCUUGUACAUGAUGAUGAUGUACGAUCGAGCCCGUGUAGGCCCCUCCACGAAAACUUCGGACGAAAUCUCUAUCAUAUGUUUGUUCCGGCUUAUUCUGCAAGCCAAUCCUUUGUUUUGUUUUGAGUUGUGGUAUUCGAGUUGCUUCGAAGUCAAAUGUUGAUUCCAUACCUGUUCCUAAGCGGUGUUCUCAUAUUUCUUUGGGAAUACUAAUCCUUCAUAAUCAUCGAGAUUGUCUUGUCAAUCCUUUUCAACCGGCGUGUUUCUCUUCUAGUGGAUCCGAUCUUUUCUACAUCCGCAAGAUCAAUUACCAGUUCUUUCUACGGUGUUCAUUUCUUCCGUCCUAAGCCAUCUUUGUUUUCCCACCCACCCACCCUUUUCAUUCAAGGAUUCGGAUUUGUGAAUCAAUUAUCAUGUGAUUGAUGAGAAGUCUCUCCAUUCUUUUCCGUCAAUAGUCUUACCCAGUGGUUCUCUUGAAAAUGUUCUACUAGUUCAUGACUUCUCAUUCUUUUUCUUCUCCGGUGGAUUCUAGUCAAACUUUGUUGAUCAUAUCCUUUCCUCGUUUCAAUACCUUCUCAUACCGGUGCACGUCAUAAUAAUUCACUUCUCGCUAUUCAAUUGUUCCGGAGUGCUCAAGAUAUCUCGAAGAUUCGUGUUUCCACUCUGCAGUCGUUCAAGAUCUUUCGAGGAUGUUAUCCCAUUCAAGCCAUUUAAUUCAACUAGCACAAUCUAUCUUUUAAAUCAUUCAACGGUGUUUCUUUCGAGUGGGCCCUAACCCACAGGUCUUUUCCCAGGAUCUUACCUGACUCUUCUAACUUUCUCGAAGCUUUUCGAGUUCUUCUCGAACAUUGACGUAAGAAUGAUUCAUCAUCAGUCAUAAUGUCUUUCUCCCAGAUCUUUCAAAUUCUUUUCAUUGCUGGCUCAACCUCUUCGUUUUGAUUCUUCCGGAGUGUAAAUAAUUCAUGGUGGUGUUUCUCAUCGUCAUUCUCGGAGAUUUGAAGUCCGAAGAAGAGUUUCUCUCAAAUCUUGGCCCGUUCUCUCAAGAUUCGUGGUUCUAGCGUUAUGCCAUCCUCUCAUAAUUGUUUUUGAUUGUGAGAUUUCUUUUCACCCAUCCGGAGUAAUUCAGAGUAUUUUCAGUUUGAUUCUCCGAAGCCCAUCAUCUCAUAAUUAUUCAUUCCCAGCUUUCAGGUAUCGUUCUCCUAAUCUUACCGGUGCAUCGAUCAAUUAUCCUCUAAUCAGUUCUUGAUCUCUUCGUUCUCAUGUAACUAAAUCCCCUCAAGAUUCUUCGUUCAUUCGCUAAUUCUUCCCGGUGUUUCUUUAUCUUUUCUUCGUUCAUUUUCAAUUCUUACGGUGGUUCGUGCAAGAUUCCUCUUCUUUCGUUAUCAUAUCAAUUUAUUCAUUGUUUUCAAUCCUACCGGUGGUUCGUUGGAGACCUUUCCAAGUUGACUCUAUGUCUAUCUUAAUUCUUUCUACGAGAAUAAGUAGUAUGCCAAAGCCAUUGAUUGUCAUCAAUUUAAUUGGUGAAGGAUGAGCAUAACAUAAUUUUUAUUCUUGAUUCACCCAAGUGAUUAAUUCCCUAUUCCGGAGGCUCGUCAAAUUCCUAAUUUCAAUUGUUUCAUCCUCUCUUUUUCCCGGAGUUCCAACCUUUUUCAAUUACAUCUCCACGGAGAUUCAUUUAAAUCAUUGCAAGGCUUCAACCUUAUUCUUUUCAUCCACCAUUUUGUUUGAUCAUUCUUUUACCGGAGUUUUCACGAAGGCUCGACAUGGUGAUUCAUCAAGGAUUUAAUCCCUUCUCGAAGUUUUCAUCAAGUUUCUUUUCAGAGGAGUUCAAGCAUUCUUCAUCUUGCUAUCCGGAGUGCAAUUCUUUCUUCCGUAUCAUUGGAGGUGGUAUUAUGUCAUUCUUGAUAAUUUGAGUCCAUGUUUCAUGUUUCACAUGUUGUUAAGAAUGAGGUAUUUUAAAUCCAUCAAUCCUUUCGUUGGAAUUAUCUUGGGCUAUAUUUCACCUAAAACCUUCCCUAAGGAUUGUUGCUAUUUAUGUUGCUUAUAAAUGACCCAAGUUCUUCAUUUAUCCUCCCGGUGAAAUGAGUUUCUCGUCUUCUUGUUCAUAUCAAUCCAAUCAAAAAAAAUUCCCGUGAGUGGCAGGUUGUCACCUCAUUAUUUUGAGAGGUUUUCCAGAAGCCCAGUACAAGCUUACUCUUUUUCUUUGUUGGUUUUCUAACAACUCCGUUCGACCCUUCUCCUAAAGAUGCCUUUUCAAGCUCUUUGUAGCAGAAGUUGGCAUUUUCUUCUACAUUCUUUUGUCUCAAUUAUCUUUAUUCUAUUCUUUCUCCCGGAGGUCUAGUGAUGUUGCUCUUUUCACUCCUCAUCUCGGUUUGUUAAGAUCAUGUUCAAUUUCUUCCAUUUACAGUCGAAGUGUUGUCCAAAUUAUAUCAGUCUUAUUCCUUCUCUAUCUUGUGUAACCGUAGUGUCAUGUCCUCUGCUCAAGUUCUUUUCACCGUAUCAAGUCUUGCAUAACUUCUCAACCGGAGUGCUGUCCAAAUUUGUUCUUCCUUGUUCCUCUUUUCUAACAGAGUGUUUUCAACUUCGUUCAUCUCCUUUGUAUUCUUUUCUCAAAAUGGCUUAAUUUUCACGGUUCUUUGGUUUCACUCGUUUGUCAAAGAAGCAACUUAGCUUUACCUCUUCUCUUUCUCUUCCGUUUUUCCCCUUCGGUGCCAUUCUAGAUCUCGGGACGAGAUCCUCUCGUAGUGGUGGAGUGUUGUAACGCCCCGAGACCGAUGCUUCAGAAGCCUUCAAUGUUCUUCGUUGCCGUCGUGUGUUUUAUUUUGUUUGUUGCAUUUCAUCAUGGCAUCGUCCGCAUUGCAUCGGCACUCGCUGUCGUCGUUGUUUUUAAAACUUGCAUCAGCUCAUAGUUGCCGCGUUACCCCUCUCUUUUGUUGCCCGUUCCAAGACCAACCUUAUUCUUAGUUUUUACCUCUUGUCUAAACUGGAAUCUCCUUGUAAAGUGCACAGACCCCCUCGCUUGCUCGUCCGAACUUCCCCGAACCCAACCCGAGCAGUCGUCACCGUUGGAUCCGGAUCAUCCCCAAACAUCCCUAAAUCAUCAUCAAUUUCUCGUUAGACUCUCCUAAGCUAUUUAUUCUCGACCGUUCGAUUUUAAUAGGAGGUUCCAAAAUAGCCCUAACCAAAAAUCCAAGGCUAUAAGUAGCAGUCUAACCCUAGCCUAGCCUCCUGUCCCAUCCAUCCUUUCCCAUCGCGCCGCCGCCAGUCCACCUGGUCUCCUCCUCGUCUUCCCCAUCGAGCCAACCACCGUCCGUCUCAGAUCCACCUCCCUCCGACCGCCUCCCGUGAUUUCCGUGCAACCAAAAUCCCCAGCAAAUCGCAGCCUCCUCCUUCCCGCUUGGAGCCCCUCCCGUGCUCUCCUCCUGCAGCUCGCCUCGCUGGAGGUCGGCGCCACCGGAGCACCACCACCAGGGACCUCAACCACCAGGCCGCAUUCCCAGCCCCUUUCCUUUCUUCUCCUUCCCUUUCAAGCUCUCUAGUUCUCUCAUGUUCGUAUCUCUCUGUGUCUCUUUCUUCGCAGCGCCCGAGGUCAUGGCCGCUGCCUUUGUGCAGUCGCUGCCGUCGCCAUGAACACCGCCCCGUCGUCUGCAUCUCUUCCGGCAGCAUCGCCGCACGUGCCCCCCCCUCUCGCGCGGAACGGCCUCGCCUCUGCGCCACGCGAACCUUCUGCAUCGACCACCUUCGUCAUGCCACCCGUGCUCCUCCGCGCUGGCCAACAGCAGCAGCGCACCCCGGCGCCCUGCUACAGACCCAACCUCAUCAAAGCCCCGCAGGUCACCGACCCUUCCUCUCCUUCCUUCGGUCCUCCUUUGUUGUUCUCUCGCUCAUGUCUCUCUCGACUGCUCUCUCUGUCUUCGCUGCAGCUAGCCGCCUUGACCACCGAUGGGAGAUGCCUCCCCUGCCCUGCUCGCGCCUAGAUCCAGCCGAUGUUGCCCUGCCGACCUCCGCCUGACCUGCGUUCCCAGCCUCCUCCUGCCGGAGUCGCCCGAGCGCCGUCGUGCCAUCGUCCAAGUCCCGCCUCGCCAAGCCCUGCAUCGCGCCGCUGUUCCCUGCUGCUGUUUCUGUUCUUCAGAAACGAGCAGCAGCAACUCGAGCCGCUCGCCCCUCUGCUUCGCACGCUGGCCCGCCAAGUCCCUCUUGCGUGCCAAGGCCCAACCUGCGCCCCGCGGCCUGCUUCCACCGUCUGGGCUUGGCCCAUGGUGAGAGAGCCCCAGUGCCCCUUUGUCUUUCUAUUCUUGGGCCUGCUCCAGUUUUAGUUUCGGCCCGCGUGUGUUUUUUCCAGCGUCUGCGAAUUUGUUCUUUUAUCCAGUUAAACAGUUAUGCAGAAAAACCCUCAUACUUCAUGCAUUUAAUAACUUCUCAACCAUGCAUCGGAUUAAAACAAUUUAUAUAUGAAACUUGCUUAGAAUUUCAUCUAGUUUAUUAAUAUGCAACUUUCAUCCUUGGUUAAAAUGCUUAAAUUGUUGUUUGUUUAAAUUUGCCCCUAUGCCAUGUUAAAAUGAUUUAUUUCAUAACUUUAUAACCAUAGCUCCAAACCUAACAAACUUUAUAUGUAACUGGGGUAGAAUUGUGCCUAGUUUAAUAUGGUGCCAUUGCUUUGCAUGUUUAAUAACCCUAAAAUUGUGUUUAGGGCAGAACAGUACCAAACCUAAAAUAUGCACGUG
rnacentral:lncRNA from 1 species